rnacentral:rRNA from 1 species
GGGUCUAUCUUCCACAACUGGGCGAAAGCCUGAUGGAGCAACGCCGCGUGAGUGAAGAAGGAUUUCGGUUCGUAAAACUCUGUUGUAAGGGAAGAACAAGUACAGUAGUAACUGGCUGUACCUUGACGGUACCUUAUUAGAAAGCCACGGCUAACUACUGUGCCAGCAGCGGGGGGUAAUAA